rnacentral:rRNA from 1 species
UUUUAUGAGAGUUUGAUCCUGGCUCAGGACGAACACUGGCGGCGUGCCUAAUACAUGCAAGUCGAACGCUUCUUUUUCCACCGGAGCUUGCUCCACCGGAAAAAGAGGAGUGGCGAACGGGUGAGUAACACGUGGGUAACCUGCCCAUCAGAAGGGGAUAACACUUGGAAACAGGUGCUAAUACCGUAUAACAAUCAAAACCGCAUGGUUUUGAUUUGAAAGGCGCUUUCAGGUGUCGCUGAUGGAUGGACCCGCGGUGCAUUAGCUAGUUGGUGAGGUAACGGCUCACCAAGGCCACGAUGCAUAGCCGACCUGAGAGGGUGAUCGGCCACAUUGGGACUGAGACACGGCCCAAACUCCUACGGGAGGCAGCAGUAGGGAAUCUUCGGCAAUGGACGAAAGUCUGACCGAGCAACGCCGCGUGAGUGAAGAAGGUUUUCGGAUCGUAAAACUCUGUUGUUAGAGAAGAACAAGGAUGAGAGUAACUGUUCAUCCCUUGACGGUAUCUAACCAGAAAGCCACGGCUAACUACGUGCCAGCAGCCGCGGUAAUACGUAGGUGGCAAGCGUUGUCCGGAUUUAUUGGGCGUAAAGCGAGCGCAGGCGGUUUCUUAAGUCUGAUGUGAAAGCCCCCGGCUCAACCGGGGAGGGUCAUUGGAAACUGGGAGACUUGAGUGCAGAAGAGGAGAGUGGAAUUCCAUGUGUAGCGGUGAAAUGCGUAGAUAUAUGGAGGAACACCAGUGGCGAAGGCGGCUCUCUGGUCUGUAACUGACGCUGAGGCUCGAAAGCGUGGGGAGCAAACAGGAUUAGAUACCCUGGUAGUCCACGCCGUAAACGAUGAGUGCUAAGUGUUGGAGGGUUUCCGCCCUUCAGUGCUGCAGCUAACGCAUUAAGCACUCCGCCUGGGGAGUACGACCGCAAGGUUGAAACUCAAAGGAAUUGACGGGGGCCCGCACAAGCGGUGGAGCAUGUGGUUUAAUUCGAAGCAACGCGAAGAACCUUACCAGGUCUUGACAUCCUUUGACCACUCUAGAGAUAGAGCUUCCCCUUCGGGGGCAAAGUGACAGGUGGUGCAUGGUUGUCGUCAGCUCGUGUCGUGAGAUG